AGUCGAGCGACCACUUCGGUGGGAAGCGGCGAACGGGUGAGUAACACGUAGGUGAUCUGCCCAUCAGACGGGGACAACGAUUGGAAACGAUCGCUAAUACCGGAUAGGACGAAAGUUUAAAGAUGCUCCUGGUAUCACUGAUGGAUGAGCCUGCGGCGCAUUAGCUAGUUGGUGGGGUAAAGGCCUACCAAGGCGACGAUGCGUAGCCGACCUGAGAGGGUGAACGGCCACACUGGGACUGAGACACGGCCCAGACUCCUACGGGAGGCAGCAGUAGGGAAUCUUCGGCAAUGGGCGAAAGCCUGACCGAGCAACGCCGCGUGAAUGAAGAAGGCCUUCGGGUUGUAAAAUUCUGUUAUAAGGGAAGAAAGGUGAUAGGAGGAAAUGACUAUCAAUUGACGGUACCUUAUGAGAAAGCCACGGCUAACUACGUGCCAGCAGCCGCGGUAAUACGUAGGUGGCAAGCGUUAUCCGGAAUUAUUGGGCGUAAAGAGCGCGCAGGUGGUUAAUUAAGUCUGAUGUGAAAGCCCACGGCUUAACCGUGGAGGGUCAUUGGAAACUGGUUGACUUGAGUGCAGAAGAGGGAAGUGGAAUUCCAUGUGUAGCGGUGAAAUGCGUAGAGAUAUGGAGGAACACCAGUGGCGAAGGCGGCUUCCUGGUCUGCAACUGACACUGAGGCGCGAAAGCGUGGGGGGCAAACAGGAUUAGAUACCCUGGUAGUCCACGCCGUANACGAUGAGUGCUAANUGUUGGGGGUCGAACCUCAGUGCUGAAGUUAACGCAUUAAGCACUCCGCCUGGG
rnacentral:rRNA from 1 species